rnacentral:pre_miRNA from 1 species
CAGCAUGUUUCCAAUUGGCAGAGUUUCUACAGCUGGAUGCCCUUCCUAAUGCAUCCAGCUGUAGAAACUCUGCCAAUUGGAAAUAUAUACA